CACGCAGGCGGUUGUGCAAGUCUGGUGUGAAAGAUCUGGGCUUAACUCAGAGAACGCGCUAGAAACUGCAUGACUAGAGUCUUGGAGGGGGAGUUGGAAUUCCUAGUGUAGGGGUGAAAUCUGUUGAUAUUAGGAAGAACACCGGUGGCGAAGGCGAACUCCUGGCUGAAGACUGACGCUGAGGUGCGAAAGCAUAGGGAGCAAACAGGGUUAGAUACCCUGGUAGUCUAUGCUGUAAACGAUGUGCACUUGGUGUUGGGCCGAUUAGGUUCAGUGCCGCAGCUAACGCGAUAAGUGCACCGCCUGGGGAGUAUGCCCGCAAGGGUGAA
rnacentral:rRNA from 1 species